GUUGUGGUUAAAAGCUCGUAGUUGAACCUUGGGCCUGGCUGGCCGGUCCGCCUCACCGCGUGCACUGGUCCGGCCGGGCCUUUCCCUCUGUGGAACCCCAUACCCUUCACUGGGCGUGGCGGGGAAACAGGACAUUUACUUUGAAAAAAUUAGAGUGCUCCAGGCAGGCCUAUGCUCGAAUACAUUAGCAUGGAAUAAUAGAAUAGGACGUGCGGUUCUAUUUUGUUGGUUUCUAGGACCGCCGUAAUGAUUAAUAGGGACAGUCGGGGGCAUCAGUAUUCAAUUGUCAGAGGUGAAAUUCUUAGAUUUAUUGAAGACUAACUACUGCGAAAGCAUUUGCCAAGGAUGUUUUCAUUAAUCAGGAACGAAAGUUAGGGGAUCGAAGACGAUCAGAUACCGUCGUAGUCUUAACCAUAAACUAUGCCGACUAGGGAUCGGACGGUGUUAUUUUUUGACCCGUUCGGCACCUUACGAGAAAUCAAAGUGCUUGGGCUCCAGGGGGAGUAUGGUCGCAAGGCUGAAACUUAAAGAAAUUGACGGAAGGGCACCACCAGGGGUGGAGCCUGCGGCUUAAUUUGACUCAACACGGGGAAACUCACCAGGUCCAGACACAAUGAGGAUUGACAGAUUGAGAGCUCUUUCUUGAUUUUGUGGGGUGGUGGUGCAUGGCCGUUCUUAGUUGGUGGAGUGAUUUGUCUGCUUAAUUGCGAUAACGAACGAGACCUUAACCUGCUAACUAGCCCGUAUUGCUUUGGCAGUACGCCGGCUUCUUAGAGGGACUAUCGGCUCAGCCGAUGGAGUUUGAGCAUAACAGUCUGUGAUGCCCUUAGAUGUCUGGGCGCACGCGCGCUACACUGAC
rnacentral:rRNA from 1 species